rnacentral:rRNA from 1 species
ACUCAAAUGAAUUGACGGGGGCCCGCACAAGCGGUGGAGCAUGUUGUUUAAUACGUCACUAACCGUAGAACCUUACCAGGUCUUGACAUCCUAGGAAUCUCGGGGAAACUCGGGAGUGCCCGCAAGGGAGCCUAGAGACAGGUGUUGCAUGGCUGUCGUCAGCUCGUGUCGUGAGAUGUUGGGUUAAGUCCCGCAACGAGCGCAACCCUCAUCCAGUGUUGCUACCAGGUUAAGCUGGGCACUCUCUGGAAACUGCCCGUGCAAGCGGGAGGAAGGUGGGGAUGACGUCAAGUCAGCAUGGCCCUUACGACCUGGGCUACAAACAUGCUACAAUGGCGCGUACAGAGGGCUGCAAGCCUGCAAGGGUGAGCCAAUCCCAAAAAGCGCGUCUCAGUUCGGAUCGGGGUCUGCAACUCGACCCCGUGAAGUCGGAAUCGCUAGUAACCGCAGGUCAGCUAUACUGCGGUGAAUACGUUCCCGGGCCUUGUACACACCGCCCGU